CAGUCGCCACCAUCCCCGUCGCCGCGCGCCUCCUCCCCCACGGCCGGCGGGCCUCCUCCCCGUGACCGGCGUGCCACCUCGCCCCCAAUGGCCGGCGUGCCUCGCCCCUCCUCCCCCGGCCGGCGCGGUUCCUCUCCCACGGCCAGGUCCAGGCCGGCUCCCACACGCCGCCGCAGACAACUGCCCCGACGCGCUCGCCGCCGUCAACUGUCCCGGCGCGCCACCGUCACCAUCUUCCCCGGCGCAUCGCUGCCACCAUUCCUCACUGCCGAGACCCAACCUAGUCGGCCAACCCCACGGACCACCCUCGAGCCAUCCCCUGCACAUCGACGGGUCGCCGCCUCGAGGCGCUCGUCCACCUCCCGGAAGAGCUCUAGCGAAACCUUCCGCCUCAUCCCGGUGGGGCUCCGCCGCUGAAGCGCCCAAACAGUUCACCGCCGCCACCUUGGGACGUUCAAGAACACACCACCAAGACGGCCAUGUGCAGGACGGUCACGAGGCUCCACCCAGCAUGUGAAUGUUCAACUGGUGAGCCUGUGUAACCCCUGUCCAAUAGCUGCGCAAGCAGAUGUUUUUAUUUCUGUGUUUCUGCUACUGAUAACAGAGGAGAUGAACGGCUGGCAGAAUUUUCUCUGAACUUCCAUCCUCUCCUCUAUGGCAAGACCUUCUAAGCGCUCCCUCUCUGAACUCCUUCAAAACUAGUACGUAUAUGUGAUUCUAGCAGGAAGAUGAAUUCAGUCAAAAAAGGAUUGAUGCAUGUUUGCUGACUGUAGUUCCUAUGUGAAGCUGCACAUGUCGAGCAAAAACAUGCUUAUGUGCAUGUUCAUAAGCUCCUUGCCUAUAAUUUUUUGAUCUUUAUCUUUCUAAUCUACACUGGACUGCCUCGUGGUGUAUUAUUCCUAAUUUCCCUUGCGAGAUUGUAUGAAAUGAAGGAACCGUCUUGGUGGAUGAGUAUUUCAAGUGCAGUUCUCACUAGAGAUACUUUGAUUUUUAUUCUCAAGUUCAGUUCUUGUGGCGUCUUAUCGUCAAGAUUUUGCCGACCAUCAUUUCUGCAGGCCAAUGUGUAUAUUUUUAGCAGGCCAAUAUGUCGAUUGAAGAAAUUUGUGUAUUCAAAAUAGUAAGGCAAUGUCGAUGAAUUAAUUUUGUGUGUUAGAUGAUAGUAGUUCAGCAGGCAACCACGUGCGUGGUGAUCUAGUGUGAAGGUCGUGGAUAGCAUGUUGUGUGCGUGCGUGAUGUCGCUAUUGGUUUCUGCUAUGAGGCGAAAUUAAUUGUUGUUGUUAUUAAGAUUCUGUAAUUUAACAGAAAGGAGAGAAAUUAACUUGUUUUGCUACUGUACGUGGGUAGCAUUUGGCCACCUACAUGGAUGUACUUAACCUGUUGUCCAGCGACAAUUCUUUAGUGUCUUAUUACCCCAUCAACAAA